AACGAACGCUGGCGGCAUGCCUAACACAUGCAAGUCGAACGAGACCUUCGGGUCUAGUGGCGCACGGGUGCGUAACGCGUGGGAACCUGCCCUUAGGUUCGGACUAACUCCCCGAAAGGGGUGCUAAUACCGGAUAAUGUCUUCGGACCAAAGAUUUAUCGCCUUUGGAUGGGCCCGCGUUGGAUUAGCUGGUUGGUAGGGUAAAACCCUACCAAGGCGAGGAUACAUAGCUGGUCUGAGAGGCUGAGCAGACACACUGGGACUGGGACACGGCCCAGACUCCUACGGGAGGCGGCAGUGGGGAAUCUUGGAAUAUGGGGGAAAGGCUGAUCCAGCACUGCCGGGUGAGUGAUGAAGGCGUUAGGGUUGUAAAGCUCUUUUACACGGGAUGAUAAUGACAGUACCGGGAGAAUAAGCACCGGCUAACUCCGUG
rnacentral:rRNA from 1 species